GGGGGUCUGAUUCUCUCCAUUAUAGUCUGAUGAAAUGACAGACUGGGCAAAAGUACGUAUCUCAGCGACAAGCAUACAGUUGGUCCACAUACAUCUAAAGGAAUCCCCUUUAUAGCUCUCCAGGCC
rnacentral:lncRNA from 1 species